CAGGGGUGAAAUCUCUGAGCUCAACUCAGAAACUGCCAUGGAUACUGGCGGGCUUGAGUACAGACGAGGUUGGCGGAAUUGAAGAUGUAGCGGUGAAAUGCAUAGAUAUCUUCAAGAACACCGAUUGCGUAGGCAGCUAACUAGGCUGUAACUGACGCUGAGGCACGAAAGCGUGGGGAGCGAACA
rnacentral:rRNA from 1 species